UACGGGGGGAGCAAGCGUUGUUCGGAUUUACUGGGCGUAAAGGGCGCGUAGACGGCGUGACAAGUCACUUGUGAAAUCUCCGGGCUUAACCCGGAGCGGCCAAGUGAUACUGUCGUGCUAGAGUGCGGAAGGGGCUACUGGAAUUCUCGGUGUAGCGGUGAAAUGCGUAGAUAUCGAGAGGAACACCUGCGGCGAAGGCGGGUAGCUGGGCCGACACUGACGCUGAGGCGCGAAAGCCAGGGGAGCGAACGGG
rnacentral:rRNA from 1 species